AAUAAGUGUAGUAUUACCCUAUUCACGUUUAAUAUUUAAUCGUCCAUUUAAUUUGAAAAUUUUCUAUAAUUAUUAUUUUUAUUGAUAUUAGAUGAUAAAACAUGAAUAGUAUUUAAUAUGUGACUCACUUGUUCUUUAGGUUUGUCCCCGCUUUCUCACAUCUGACGGACGGUUCCGUGUUGGGUUCGAAUCUUCACGGGUUGCUCCUAUA
rnacentral:pre_miRNA from 1 species